UACGGAGGGAGCUAGCGUUGUUCGGAAUUACUGGGCGUAAAGCGCACGUAGGCGGCUUUGUAAGUUAGAGGUGAAAGCCCGGAGCUCAACUCCGGAACUGCCUUUAAGACUGCAUCGCUUGAAUCCAGGAGAGGUGAGUGGAACUUCCGAGUGUAGAGGUGAAAUUCGUAGAUAUUCGGAAGAACACCAGUGGCGAAGGCGGCUCACUGGACUGGUAUUGACGCUGAGGUGCGAAAGCGUGGGGAGCAAACAGG
rnacentral:rRNA from 1 species